UACGUAGGGUGCAAGCGUUGUCCGGAAUUAUUGGGCGUAAAGAGCUCGUAGGCGGUUUGUCGCGUCGGCUGUGAAAACCCGGGGCUCAACCCCGGGCCUGCAGUCGAUACGGGCAAACUAGAGUUCGGCAGGGGAGACUGGAAUUCCUGGUGUAGCGGUGAAAUGCGCAGAUAUCAGGAGGAACACCGGUGGCGAAGGCGGGUCUCUGGGCCGAUACUGACGCUGAGGAGCGAAAGCGUGGGGAGCAAACAGG
rnacentral:rRNA from 1 species